GGCCUGCUGGCCCAAUGGCAAGGCGCUUGACUACGAAACACUCAAAAAUCUUGAGUGUUUGAAAUCAAGAGAUUGCAGGUUCGAUCCCUGCGUAGGUCA